AGGUGCAAUGUUGUAUUGUUUGUCAAAAGCCCUGUCUUACCUGAGUACUGAGGAAAUUGGGCCCACUUAUAUACUCAACUGUCAUAAGAGAAGAGAUGUCUCCAAAGAAUGAUUCAAGUUCCCCAAAAAGGAGGAACUUAAAUCACUUCCAGCGGGGUUCUUGGCAUGCAUGAUGGAAAAGAAUUUCAAGCUGGGUGUGGUGGCCUGCUCCCAUGAUCCUAGCAAUGUGGAGGCUGAGGCAGAAGGAUUUCAGCAACUUAGUGAGGCCUUGUAUCAGAAUAAAAAAUAAAAA